AACGAACGCUGGCGGCAUGCCUAACACAUGCAAGUCGAACGAGACCUUCGGGUCUAGUGGCGCACGGGUGCGUAACGCGUGGGAACCUGCCCUUAGGUUCGGAAUAACUCCCCGAAAGGGGUGCUAAUACCGGUUAAUGUCUUCGGACCAAAGAUUUCUCGCCUUUGGAUGGGCCCGCGUUGGAUUAGCUAGUUGGUAGGGUAAAAGCCUACCAAGGCGACGAUCCAUAGCUGGUCUGAGAGGAUGAUCAGCCACACUGGGACUGAGACACGGCCCAGACUCCUACGGGAAGGAGCAGUGGGGAAUAGUGGAGAGUCGGCGUAAGCCUGAUCCAGCCAUGCCGCGUGAGUGUUGAAGGGCUUAGGGUUGUAAAGCUCUUUUACCCGGGAUGAUAAUGACAGUACCGGGAGAAUAAGCUCCGGCUAACUCCGUG
rnacentral:rRNA from 1 species